UGGGGCUCGGGGUAUAAGACCCAUCACCCCGGUAAACCCUAAUGCUAGCCAUGUGUUCCAGCCGCCACCACCUUAUGCCCCUUUCGUCUCUGGCGCCGCCGCCCUCAUCCCGUUUCCGAUUAGCGAACCACCGAGCAGCUACUCCACUGGACUUUUGCCACUCUUCUCCUUCUCCUUUUUCAGCCGCUGCCAUAUGAGGCCUCAUCCACCACCCGCUACUUCGCCGUCGGAGCGCCAUCACCACUAUCGAUGCACCAUGUUACUGUCAUCCUUCUUCUGUUCGACGUCUCUUCACCGGCAUUACGUCUCAGCCCCGUUGGCGUCGCCGUUGCCCGUCUUCGUCGAAGACUAAGAUGCCGUCGGGCUCUAGGCUCCUAUUGCUGCUACAAACUUCCGCUCCUGCCGCCACUGAUGCCGAUCCAAGCGUCGUUGUUGCUGGUUGUUGCACCACUGACAUCGCCGCUCACCGCAUGUGGGUGAUUGGGUUUAUUUUCCGAUCAAAGGACGAGUGUUGAUGCUUUUACUACUGCUGUGCAUAUUGAGUGUGCUUUGUUUGGCCAGAAAUCACAAGAACAGCCACCACCACCACCGUGAGGUGGUGGCUGUCGCCAUAUACCACCACCGACUACCAUAAGGUUAUUAGUCUGUGUGUGUGUUUAUUCUGGGAUUUAGUGUUGUAUAUUGUAAUCGGUGAUGAAUUAAUGAAGGGAAAGCUCAUAACCACCACCGUGAGGUGGUGGUGUGCUUUUUUUGUGUUUAGACUUCGUUUGGGAUGCUUGGACAAAAAUGGACUAGAACCAUAACCACCACCGUGAGGUGGUGGCCGCCGCCGUGAGCCGCCAUUGACCAGCACUACCCGAGGUGGUAGUGGGUGGUGCCCGACUAGGGAAACCCUAAUGGGCCUAAUGAAACCCUAAUGGAUCUAAGGGCUUAGCUUUUGGGCCUAUUGGGUUAGAAACCCUAAUUAGGGUUUAGAAAACCCUAAUUUUGGAAUCAUUGGCUUGGACUAAUCGGGACCCGCAUUUUGGGCCAUUAGGAUUGGAUCAUGUAUUAAGCCCUACCACACCAAAUGAUUCACCUAAUAGAGUGAUGGACUUAAUGGAUUAAGCCCUUAAUGGGUUAAGUAUGAACACUUAACCAUAAUUGUCAUUUCAUGUGAAAACCCUAAUUUUACUUGGGCCUUGAGUUAGGCCUUUCUAUUUGGUUAUGGUGAUUGGGCUAUUGAUGGGUCAUCCGAAAAUAAUCAUAUAGACUAAGAAUAUAUGGAUGGGCUUAGGGUAAGGCUUAUGUGAGGGUUUGGGCCCAAUUUGGAAAAUUGGGCCAUAGCUGGGCCUUGAGGAUUAUGAUAGGUUGGACCAUUGGAAUGCCAAAUGUGUGGACUGGACUAAAUGGUUGGGCCUUAAGAUAAGCCCAUAUAGAGGUUUGGGUCCAAUUUGGAAAUUGGGCCAUAUGUUGGGCCUUAAUUCAUUGAUUGGUUUUGGGCCUUCAGAGUGGGUGUUUGGACCUUGGUUUUCGACCAAGUUAGGCUAAGGGUAAAAUAGUCUUUUUACCCCAACCAUGGACUUAUGGUUAUGUAUUGGAACCCAAUUAUUGUUUGGGUGUCGUUUUGAUGUUGAUAGUUCGAGAAUUUGUCAACCAACAGUUGGAGUUUUUAUCCGCAGGACUUAAGCAGUGACAGGUAUCAUUGGUUUAGAAAGGAAGGGCUCAGCUUGAUCGCAGCGCACACACCCAUGUUUUCUGCAUUAUGUGAUUUGGGACGAACUUUGAUAAAUGUUUUUAGUUAAUCAGGUUUUUGGAAUGUUUGGAUUUAGAAGAUAACUAUGUUGAUUAUAAUAAAAAUAAAAAAUUUACCCUUGAUUUU